rnacentral:rRNA from 1 species
CCUACGGGUGGCAGCAGUGGGGAGUAUUGCACAAUGGGCGCAAGCCUGAUGCAGCCAUGCCGCGUGUGUGAAGAAGGCCUUCGGGUUGUAAAGCACUUUCAGCGGGGAGGAAGGCGGUGAGGUUAAUAACCUCAUCGAUUGACGUUACCCGCAGAAGAAGCACCGGCUAACUCCGUGCCAGCAGCCGCGGUAAUACGGAGGGUGCAAGCGUUAAUCGGAAUUACUGGGCGGAAAGCGCACGCAGGCGGUCUGUCAAGUCGGAUGUGAAAUCCCCGGGCUCAACCUGGGAACUGCAUUCGAAACUGGCAGGCUAGAGUCUUGUAGAGGGGGGUAGAAUUCCAGGUGUAGCGGUGAAAUGCGUAGAGAUCUGGAGGAAUACCGGUGGCGAAGGCGGCCCCCUGGACAAAGACUGACGCUCAGGUGCGAAAGCGUGGGGAGCAAACAGGAUUAGAUACCCUAGUAGUC